ACCUAGACUCUCAUAGAAUUUUUAGUCCUUUUGUAUUUGAAAAGUCUUAGUCAAUGCAUUUCUUCCAAAGAAUCUUCUUAUUGCUCAUUUUUUCCUACUUUAUUAAUAAUUUUGUUCGAUAAAAACAACACUAAAAUAAUUGAAUGUGGUAACUUAUAGAUUAAAACAAGUAUUUUAACUCAUGAAAUUAUACGAAAAAUGGUUACUAAAAUGACCUAAAGAUCUAGUCUAUAGGGUAGUUGAAGGGUGUGAAUAGCCAAUGAUUUGAAAACUCUAAGGUGCCUAAAAGACACUAUAGUGGUACUUAAUACUGCGUAAGGUGCCAUAUCAAUAGGGAAAUUUCAUUUUUAAUGCUAAAAAAAAUACCCUCUAACAAAAUUUAGACUCUAAUUAAUUUAUACAAUUAAAUGCUAUUAUUUUCAAUUUUUAUCCAAACUACCCUCCCUUUCAUUUUCCUUCUCUCUCUGUCUCUUUCUCUUCCUCACUCUCUCUUCUUCUUUCUCGCACCACCAAGACCAGCCAAACCCAGGCACCAAGACCACCCAACCACCACUACCGAACCUCCUUUCCUCCACCACCGAACCUCUUCAUCUAUCCAAAAACCCAGACGAAAUCCAGAGGCCCAAGACCGGUCGGACCUCCAUAGCACUCAAGCAUCGAAAAACCCAGAGGCCCCGAACCUCUGUCUCCGUCUUCAUCUUCGUGUUUAUUUUUUUUAUUGGAUUUUUUUUAUUACAUUUAUCGAUAGGUUAUCGAUAGUUUAUCGAUGACAUUUAUCGAUAGGUUAUCGAUGAUUUCUGUUUGCACACAAAAAAAGCAGUGUACAGACAAAACCAUCGAUAAACUAUCGACAAAGUAUCGAUAACCCAUCGAUAAUUCCAUUUUGGCCAGAAAAUCAUACCCUCCACCACCAUCUAAUGUCUCAAACAAAUACGAAUUCAAUGAGCUUCUGCUUGGGGGAGGGUUAAGUGGGCGGUGGCGAACGGCGAUGGUGGUUGAGAGAAGUCGAGGAGGAGGAAGAGAAAAAGAUUUGGGUAGUUGAGAUUUGGGGGUUGUUGGAUUAAGUUUUGGGUAGAUGAGGAGAUUCGGUGGUGGAGGAGAAGAGGUUCAGUGGUGGUGGUUGGUGGUCUGCCUGAGUUUGAGGGAAAGAGAGUGAGGAAGAGAAAGAGACAAAGAGAGAAGGAAAAUGAAAAGGGGGUAUUUUAGGUAGAAAUUGAAAACAAUAGCAUUAAAUUGUAUAAAUUAAUUAUGAGUCUAAAUUUUGUUAGAAGGUAUUUUAUUAAGCAUUAAAAAUGAAAUUUCCCUAUCAAUAUUAGUGUAAUUAGAAAUAUGAUGUCACACAAUUUAAAUUAAUAACUAUAGUAUGAAAUAUUACUAACUAUUUGCAAGAUACCACAGAUGCCAAAUAGCAUUAAUGGUCAUCUAUUAGUUAUGCAGUUUGAAAAUUUUUAAACGUGGCUUUAUAGCUCAAUAUAUAGUUUCCCAAUUGCCCUAACCAGAAUCUUAUUAACGAACAUUAUUUAUUUAUUUAUUUAAAAGGAAAAGAAAUUUAAUCAACUAACUAACUUUAUUAAACUUACUUUUCAGACUUAAAUUAUUAUAGUACAAAAGUUACCUACUAUCUCAAGGUAAUUGUAUACUAAUAAUAUAUUAUAUAGAACAAAUAAGUAUAUAUUAUUGGUGAUUUCACAAACUAAUAAUUAAGCUCUUAUUUAAGCCCUAUCAUCAUGACUCUCUACAUGGAGUUCCAACAAAUACCCUCUUUCCAAGUCCUUCUCUUUUCAGUUUUUAUGUUUAUUUUGGGUAGCAUAUCUCUUGAAGAGAGCUCAAACAAGCAAUAACUCAGCUUCAAAACUACCCCAGGUCCAUGGAGACUACCCUUUCUGGGAAACUUGCACCAACUUUUGGGGCCCUUUUCCUCAUCACACUCAGAGACUUAGCCCAAAAACAUGGACCAUUAUUCAUGUACCUCAAAAUAGGACAAGUUCCAACCAUAGUAGUUUCAUCACCCGAGUAUGCGAAAGAAGUCAUGAAAACCCAUGAUCAAGACCCAAAACUCUUGUUGCAAAAACAGUGUCAUAUGAUUCUACUGACAUUUUAUUUGCUCCAUACGGUGAGUAUUGGAGAGAGCUUAGAAAGAUUUGUUUCCAAGAGCUUCUAACCCCAUCUAGGGUUAAAGCUUUUCAACCCAUCAGAGAAGAAGAGUCCUUUAAUAUUGUAAAACUUGUUGCUUCAAAAGUAGGCUCACUUAUCAAUCUUAGUGAAAUGACCAGGAGAUCGUCUUAUAACAUCAUAUAUCUAGGGCUGCCUUUGGCAACAAAAGCAAUGAUCAUGAUGAAUGCAUAUCAAUUAUGGAGGAAAUUGUUAAAUUGUCUGGAGGGUUUGCAUUUGGAGAUUUGUUUCCAUCUUUGAGUUAUCUUGAUUGGUAUACUUUAAGUAAAUUUAAUCAUUAUAAACAAAGGGCAUCAAGAAUAGUGGAAAGAAUCAUCAAGUUACAUACAGAUCAAGACAAGGAGAUCAAGUCAUCAACAAAUAAAAGUGGAGAAGAGAAAGACUUGGAUGAUGCCCUUUUGAAAUUUCAUAAGAGUGAAGAUCAUCAUAAGUUCGACAAUCUUAAAGCAGUCAUUUUUAACAUAUUUGCAGCUGGGAGUGACACAUCAGCAACAACUAUAGAAUGGGCUAUAGCAGAAAUGAUGAGAAAUCCAAGAGCGAUGAAAAAAACUCAGGAUGAGGUUAGACAAGUCUUUGGCGAAAAAGGAUCAGUAGAUGAAUCUUCAAUCAAUGAGAUGAAAUACUUAAAAUCAAUUGUUAAAGAAACUCUAAGGUUGCAUCCUCCAGUUGCCUUAUUAAUUCCAAGAGAAAGUAGAGAAAAGUGUGAGAUUGAUUUCUCUUCUUUUUUAUUGUGUUCAACUAUGUAACAUACACUUUUACAUGUUGACUGAAAUAAAGCAAAAAGCAUAUUGGAGAUCUAGUAACUUUGUAAUAUUAAGUAAAUGAUCUGUAUCAGUUGAAAUAAUUAUAUCAAUAAAUAUUUACUAAAUAAAAGUAAUAUUACAUACUUUUUUUUUGAAA